rnacentral:rRNA from 1 species
GACGGAGGAUGCAAGCGUUAUCCGGAAUGAUUGGGCGUAAAGCGUCUGCAGGUGGCAGUUCAAGUCUGCUGUCAAAGACCGGGGCUUAACUUCGGAAAGGCAGUGGAAACUGAACAGCUAGAGUAUGGUAGGGGCAGAGGGAAUUCCUGGUGUAGCGGUGAAAUGCGUAGAGAUCAGGAAGAACAUCGGUGGCGAAGGCGCUCUGCUGGACCAUAACUGACACUCAGGGACGAAAGCCAGGGGAGCAAGCGGG